UACGUAGGGGGCAAGCGUUGUCCGGAAUCAUUGGGCGUAAAGGGCGCGUAGGUGGCCCGGUCAGUCUUUGGUGAAAGCGCGGGGCUCAACCCUGCGUCGGCCAGGGAUACUGCCGCGGCUCGAGCACUGUAGAGGCAGGCGGAAUUCCGGGUGUAGCGGUGAAAUGCGCAGAUAUCAGGAGGAACACCGGUGGCGAAGGCGGGUCUCUGGGCAGUAACUGACGCUGAGGAGCGAAAGCGUGGGGAGCGAACAGG
rnacentral:rRNA from 1 species